UUUGGCACUAGAGGUUCAACCAUGCAGAGUUAAUUCCAUUGAAUCUCUACUACAGGAAAAGAAAACUUGCGCAUCAAUGACAGACCAGGCUGACUUCAAUAUGGCAACAAUCAACCUAUAAAUAAGGUUGUGGAAUGGGUGGUAG